AAGAGAGAGGUAUUAAAAAAAAAGGUGAGAUCACUUGGUCUGACUGUAGAUGCUGAUCACAGUUUGUCUUCACAUAGAGAAGUCCAUAUCGAGAGGCCGUAUGACCCAAUACUGUUUCCAACUAACUAAUCAUAAACUCAACGCACGUCACACACGUUUUCUGGAAAGGGAGCAUAAACCUAGAGGACAUUGACUCCAUAGUGCUUCUUACAUCAAUCAAAUGUAUUUUAUAAAGCCCUUUUUACAUCAGCAGUUGUCACAGAGUGCUAUACAGAUAUCCAGCCUAAAACCCCAAAGAGCAAGCAUUACUUUAUAGCAGUAUAUCCAAACAGCUGCUCAUUCAAAAAGGAACUAGACCAAUAACAGGAAGGGACUCAAGAGUCAACUCUUGGCCUAAUCCAAGAAUGCUGGGGACACUAAAGUCAUUAAUAGAAAAAAAGACUGUCAGCACCCUUACAAUUAAAGUAAGUAAAAAUAUAGCCUAACAGUUUAUUGCAUUUUCUUUGUUGUGUGGAGCUUCACCAGUUUGCUAUAUUCUUUCACAAUCAAAACAUAAUGAUUUAGCUGAAUAUAACACAAUGGACAUUGCAUGUUGCUCUACAUGCAUGACAGUUUGCAGACAGUCAUAACUGCCAAGGCCAAACUCAUUGCUCUCCAUUUCAGGGGCCAGAUUUUAUUUCAGCAGGGGGCAACUCACGACAUGUCCCUGCUGACAGACAGACAGCAUGUGGGGAAUCAAAUUCAGAAUAGAAGCUCUCAAGAAUCUGUUAACACACUGCUUAGUGAGAUUACAGGGAGGUGAAAAUGAAAGGAUAACAUCUUCCACCAUCCCUGACUGCAUUUUCAAUGUUACAACUUCCACAACCAUUCUGCAAACUUUCCUAGAACAAUUGUAUAUCCAUCAAACUGCCUUGUUGCUCUUGUUUUUCACUUCACAUUUUUGGAAAGUACUUCUAACUAAAUACUGUUUUGUUCAUCAUUUAUAAAAAAUCAUGACCAA